rnacentral:rRNA from 1 species
AUUGAACGCUGGCGGCAUGCCUUACACAUGCAAGUCGAACGGUAACGGGCCUUCGGGUGCCGACGAGUGGCGAACGGGUGAGUAAUGCAUCGGAACGUACCUUUCAGUGGGGGAUAACGUAGCGAAAGUUACGCUAAUACCGCAUAUUCUGUGAGCAGGAAAGCAGGGGAUCGCAAGACCUUGCGCUGAUUGAGCGGCCGAUGUCAGAUUAGCUAGUUGGUGAGGUAAAGGCUCACCAAGGCGACGAUCUGUAGCGGGUCUGAGAGGAUGAUCCGCCACACUGGAACUGAGACACGGUCCAGACUCCUACGGGAGGCAGCAGUGGGGAAUUUUGGACAAUGGGGGCAACCCUGAUCCAGCCAUGCCGCGUGAGUGAAGAAGGCCUUCGGGUUGUAAAGCUCUUUCGGCCGGGAAGAAAUCGCAUGGGUUAAUACCUGUGCGGAUGACGGUACCGGCAUAAGAAGCACCGGCUAACUACGUGCCAGCAGCCG